GACGAACGCUGGCGGCGUGCUUAACACAUGCAAGUCGAACGGAAAGGCCCUUCGGGGUACUCGAGUGGCGAACGGGUGAGUAACACGUGGGUGAUCUGCCCUGCACUUUGGGAUAAGCCUGGGAAACUGGGUCUAAUACCGGAUAGGACUACGGGCUGCAUGGUCUGUGGUGGAAAGCUUUUGCGGUGUGGGAUGGGCCCGCGGCCUAUCAGCUUGUUGGUGGGGUGAUGGCCUACCAAGGCGACGACGGGUAGCCGGCCUGAGAGGGUGACCGGCCACACUGGGACUGAGAUACGGCCCAGACUCCUACGGGAGGCAGCAGUGGGGAAUACUGCACAAUGGGCGCAAGCCUGAUGCAGCGACGCCGCGUGAGGGAUGACGGCCUUCGGGUUGUAAACCUCUUUCAGUGCCGACGAAGCGCAAGUGACGGUAGGCAUAGAAGAAGGACCGGCCAACUACGUGCCAGCCGCCGCGGUAA
rnacentral:rRNA from 1 species